rnacentral:tRNA from 1 species
CAAAAAUUAGUUAAUGUUUUAUAAUAAAAUUUUGUCAAAAUUUAGUAAUUAAUAAAUAUUUUUGU